GCCUGGCUGGCUCAGACAGUAGAGCGUGGAACUCUUGAUGUUGGGGUCAUGAGUUUGAGCCUCAUGUUGGGUG
rnacentral:tRNA from 1 species